GACGAACCGUGCGAACGUUGUUCGGAAUCACUGGGCUUAAAGGGCGCGUAGGCGGGCGUGACAGUCAGGGGUGAAAGCCCACGGCUCAACCGUGGAAGUGCCUUUGAUACUUCACGUCUGGAGGGAGGUAGGGGGCGUGCGGAACUUCCGGUGGAGCGGUGAAAUGCGUAGAUAUCGGAAGGAACACCGGUGGCGAAAGCGGCGCGCUGGACCUCUUCUGACGCUGAGGCGCGAAAGCCAGGGGGAGCAAACGGGG
rnacentral:rRNA from 1 species